UACUAUACAUCUUAUCCUCACGGCAUCACACAGUCCUCUAACUCUCUCAGCUCGAGCCUGAUCCCGUCCCUGCCGCUUCCCGUCCAUAGACGGCGUCGCCGCAUUCUUGUCUCCCCUCCACGGCGUCGGCCGGCCCCUCCUCUCCCAGCCAUCUCUCCUCCAUGUCGCGCGCCGAGCCCGUCCUCCCUUCCCUCGAUGGCUUCGUCCGCAUCCUCCUCCGACUGCCACGGUGGCUCGAUUGGUUCGAUCCACCGCCAUCCACGCCCGACAGGUUAUUCCGACGAUGGGGCGGCGGCGAAGCUUAGCGCGAUGACAGAGCCUUCCUCCAGCUCUACCAAGAAACCCUCGCUCUCCGUCCGUCUUCCUCCCUUUGCCAGCACCACCUAGCGUCGCCAUGGUCGGUGGCCGCGACCACCAACAAGAGGAAUCGCGAGGCGGCGGCGGCGGCACCAAGGGGAAGCCGCAGCCCGUCACUGCCAAGGAAAAGCGGGUCACAGCUAAGGAAGUGUCGGAGUCGAGGAAGCCCGACUACAACCUUAAGAAAGACAUCGAAGUACUAUGGGGAAAGAUGAUAGGUCGUCAUUUGAGCAAGGAGGAUAUAAUCAAGCUAGUUACCGAGGCCCUCCGUAAAAUGGAUUGGAAAUAUUUGGAAUUUCUGGAUCCCAUGUAAACGCAUCUGUUCUUCAACUAAGUUGCUGACACUCAUUCUUUAUGAAUGCGUUGCAUAUGGUGUUUUGGUACUUAUUCUGAUAGCCACCAUUUUUUGUCAGACAUGUGUGUAGUGGUUCUCACACUCAAGAGAGUGGCAAGGUUAGGACGCAUAUUAUCAGAAUCUUGAAGAAGCAGAUUAUGAAGCUUGAUGUCAGUGAUUAUGGAUGCCUUGUUCUAUUUGAAGAGCUGACAAAGCAGUUAAAGGAAAUCAUAUUGAUAAGCUUAAACAGGUCCAUCUUUGACCAAGUAUAGGACGGGCAGAUGUCGCGAAAGGAAUACUCAUGGUUUCUGAAGACUGACCAUGCUCCCUCGAGUACUACGCAGCAACAAACUCAGUAAAAAGAGGGCUCAGACAUGGCGACAAGAAUGAAGGUGGAGGGAAAGGAGUGGAGAGAAAGUAUUCUGGAGGUUGAUUUGAAUCCCCGGGUAUGUGGUUAUGCAUGAGCUGUGGAAGCAAAGGUGUGUGUCGGCUGGUUAUGCAUGAGCUGUGGAAGCAAAGGUGUGUGUCGGCUGGAGCUGAUUUACGGGGCUGUCAUUUGGAUGGUACCAAACUGUAAUAAUACAGACUCCCACUCAAAAUUUCACUGCACCAAAGGCUCUCGUCAGGAUGGCAAACCUAGGGAGUUCAGGCACCAUGAAACAUAACUUCCUUUGCCAUCGGAGAGAAAGAAGACGGUAGGCGCGCUCAGGAGAUGACGCAGCAACAACCGUCGAGCGGAGGUUGUGUUUGGAGGCGACCAGCAGAGGCUGCAGCUCCCACAGCUCGCGUGCGAACGAUGUGGCCGGACGACGAUUGAAGCGGCGUUUCUGUUUUGGCGGCGUGCUUUCGCGUGUGGAUGGAGCUCGUACGCCAGGAAGAACUGGCGUCUUGAUGGAGCUCGUACGCCAGGAAGAACUGGCGUUCGUUGGCGGGUCGAAGAAGUUUGAUUUUUGGUCGAUGGACCUCGUCCUCGUUCGUGGGUUGCGGAGCUGUUUUUUUGUUGACUGGGCGCGAUCGUGGGGUUCCAUGGACUUAUCGUUCGUGUGUUGAACUGUGGAUCUCGUACGUGGGCUGAGUUGUUGUAUUUUUUUUUGCGGGCGCUGAGUUGGUGUUUUUUCGUACGUGGGCUAUGUUGGUGGGCUGCUAUGUUGGUGGGCUGCUGCGUGCGUGUGGGAGUUCGAAGGGAGGGGGAUCGAACGAGGUCGAACCAUCACGACGUUCGAUCCCGCUUUAAUAGUAGAGAUUCGGGCAUAUGACGUCCAAAUGAGGCAUGUGAUUGUAAUAUGAUGUGUUUGUGAAAUGCGAGCAGUAGCCUUGUGAUUUUGAUAGCUCGGUGAUGGCGGGCGAAGCCACCAAGCAUCGACACACAUCCUAACCAAUUUGAUUUGGUGUCAUCUUGGAUCUGACUAAUGGAUUAAUAUUCUUGUAGGUUGAUUUGAAUCCCCGGGUAUGUGGUUAUGCAUGAGCUGUGGAAGCAAAGGUGUGUGUCGGCUGGUUAUGCAUGAGCUGUGGAAGCAAAGGUGUGUGUCGGCUGGAGCUGAUUUACGGGGCUGUCAUUUGGAUGGUACCAAACUGUAAUAAUACAGACUCCCACUCAAAAUUUCACUGCACCAAAGGCUCUCGUCAGGAUGGCAAACCUAGGGAGUUCAGGCACCAUGAAACAUAACUUCCUUUGCCAUCGGAGAGAAAGAAGACGGUAGGCGCGCUCAGGAGAUGACGCAGCAACAACCGUCGAGCGGAGGUUGUGUUUGGAGGCGACCAGCAGAGGCUGCAGCUCCCACAGCUCGCGUGCGAACGAUGUGGCCGGACGACGAUUGAAGCGGCGUUUCUGUUUUGGCGGCGUGCUUUCGCGUGUGGAUGGAGCUCGUACGCCAGGAAGAACUGGCGUCUUGAUGGAGCUCGUACGCCAGGAAGAACUGGCGUUCGUUGGCGGGUCGAAGAAGUUUGAUUUUUGGUCGAUGGACCUCGUCCUCGUUCGUGGGUUGCGGAGCUGUUUUUUUGUUGACUGGGCGCGAUCGUGGGGUUCCAUGGACUUAUCGUUCGUGUGUUGAACUGUGGAUCUCGUACGUGGGCUGAGUUGUUGUAUUUUUUUUUGCGGGCGCUGAGUUGGUGUUUUUUCGUA